UGGCAAUACCAUACUGAAAGCACCGGUUGUCAACAGAUCACCGCAGUUAAGCAGCAUCGGGUGCUGUCAGUACUUGGGAGGGUGACCACGUG